rnacentral:rRNA from 1 species
CAAUAGCGUAUAUUUAAGUUGUUGCAGUUAAAAAGCUCGUAGUUGGAUUUCGGGCGGGGCCUGCCGGUCCGCCUUUGGUGUGCACUGGCAGGGUCCGCCUUGCUGUCGGGGACGGGUUCCUGGGCUUUACUGUCUGGGACUCGGAGUCGACGUGGUUACUUUGAGUAAAUUAGAGUGUUCAAAGCAGGCUUACGCUCUGAAUACAUUAGCAUGGAAUAACGCGAUAGGACUCUGGCCUAUCUUGUUGGUCUGUGGGACCGGAGUAAUGAUUAAGAGGGACAGUCGGGGGCAUUCGUAUUUCAUUGUCAGAGGUGAAAUUCUUGGAUUUAUGAAAGACGAACUACUGCGAAAGCAU